UGCCGAUGUAGGGGGCGGGACUAUUUGGUCAUCUGGAUACUACUAACGCUACUUCAAUUGCUAAACACGUAGUUAGUUUAAUUCAAGUUAAGUUAGUUUUGUCAAUUGUUUUAGCUUAACUUCUUCUCGAGACUAGCAGUAGGGAGGUUAGGCGUUGAAGCACCCGAGGAAACUACAGUAUUUGGGUCAAGGCGAGUACAAGAAGUGAGGAAAAUCAACCGAGCUGAUGCCCACAAAAGCUAACACUUCAGCGGCUAACGUUAACUAGCUAAUAUUGGACAGAUAAAACAUCCAGGAACCAUGUUUCACCACAGAUGGUCUAACGUUUGUUGCUGGUCUUCAAGAGGGACUGAAGGAUAUUAUCCUGAGGCGGUUUAAUACUAACACCGGUCGCCUUCAGCUAAUGGUUCCCUUUGAGUGUGUGCUGUGAGGCUCAGGCCAUUGAAUAAUGUAGUGCAGAGCCUGCGGCAGGGUAGUAUCACUCAAGUAGAGGACAGGAACAUACACACACAUGUGCACCUACACAAGCAAACAAACAUUUUAAAAAGAGAUGAUACUUGUACUCUGUGCAGGAGAGUGAAGGGCAGUGUCCAAAUUUAACUUUUUGACUCACCUGCCAAGGGGAGCGGUAGAUGAAAAAAUCCACCGGCCAAGCAUAUUUUUUACCAGCCAAAAUAAUAAAUUGCCUUUUUGUGUCACACACACAUUUGUUUCAGUACAUUUCAUUGAGAUAAUAGGCCAGAGCAAAAUGUCCUUAAAAUAACCCAAUAAACAUGCAUUAUCAAAGCAUGUUAGUACAGACCAAUAUUUUAUAUUUAUCAAUGUGAUACAGAUGGUUGUACGAAAAGAUUUUGUUUUGGGUAUAAAGAUUUCGUAAUGCCAAAAUGAGCAACAUCUGCUGAUCCAGACGUUUAUUUUGCCAUUAUGUACAACUCUGUAUGCAAGACGCUUUUGUAUAUUUUAUGGGUGAAUCUGGGAAGUUAGCCAACAAAAACAAACAUCUGCAGGGAUUAAAGUUCUCCAUCGCUAUGAUGGAUUUCCGUCAUUUGGGUUGAGAGAGAGCGAGAGGUAACUCACCACUCAUUCUCUAUCUCCGAUGGUGUGUAACAGCAUGUGUGCACGUGACCAGUGCGGAGUAUCAAAACAUAGAGCUUUGCUCAACUUAAGCGAAUAGUUCCGAGUGACAAAUCAAACAUCGGAAUUAGACGGAAUAACAACGGUAAGAUUUGUAUUGUUGUUGAAUGUUCAAUAUGAGGUGAAAAUGAGUUAGAUGUGCGUAAAAAACACAUAUGCGUGUCUACACUAUAUAGGGACAAACAUGAUUAAGUUCCUCCGAGCCGUCAAGCCCGAUAUUUAAUUACAUGACUAUUAUGGUACAAACGUUUACCCGCCAGUGUGGCCGAUAGCCUUCCGAGAUUUACUUGUCAAACGGAAAAUCUACCCCGAUUUGGCAUUUGGUGGGUGUUAAUUUCAGACCCUUGUGAUGGGCAUACAUUUAUGCAUUCAUAAACAACAGGCUUCCUCAAAAUAGUAACUCGGUGUAACUAGCAGGAGGAAAUAAAAAGAGGAAAACUGCUGAGAGACGCUGCAUGUCAACAACAUGGACUAAGAGUAGUCCUAUAAAACCCAACUGUGUUUAAGGCAAAACUGUUCUUGUCUUUAGUUUUUUUUUCCCUGAACUUGAGCGUGCUUCCACUGAGGAUGUUUGGAGUAUAAAUUUUACA